rnacentral:rRNA from 1 species
UACGUAGGGGGCUAGCGUUGUCCGGAAUCAUUGGGCGUAAAGAGCGCGUAGGCGGCCAGAUAAGUCCGGUGUGAAAGUCACAGGCUCAACCUGUGAAUGCCGCUGGAAACUGUCUGGCUAGAGUCCGGGAGGGGCGAGUGGAAUUCCUGGUGUAGCGGUGAAAUGCGCAGAUAUCGGGAGGAACACCAAUGGCGAAGGCAGCUCGCUGGGACGUGACUGACGCUGAGACGCGAAAGCGUGGGGAGCAAACAGG